AUGCUGAUUUCCCAACAAAACGAAUUGACUUCUAGACUGUCGUCUUCAUCUCAAAUCAACGAAAUCACCCACUUCAAGCCUGCAAUUCUGUCCUUCCCAGCCGAUUGGAUUAGUACCUCUGUCAUCUGCUUCGGUCUUUGCGAAUUGAGCAUCCGCGUUGCCACUGCAGCACCCUUCUAAAAUGUCGUCGUUCCCUAUGAUGAGCACUGUCCAUCAUUGUCGCAACCACCGUCAUUCCGUUGAGAAGGUAGAUGAUACCGUUGUGGAGAUGAAGACACCACCCCGACUGAUUAUGCCGGAGAUGACCGCAAUGACUGUACAAAGUCUUUCAUCGCCGCACAGUGCGCCAGUCACGCCACCUGUGAGCACUCCAUUGACUUCACCGGUCUCUAACAUAGCAGUAGUUACGCUUAAACCGAUUUGCAGGCCAAUUAUUGGUAUCUUCCGCAAAGAAAGUUUCAUGUCGAAUGUCCCAUUUAUCUUUCCUAAUCAGAAU
rnacentral:misc_RNA from 1 species